rnacentral:rRNA from 1 species
CCCUGCCCUUUGUACACACCGCCCGUCGCUACUACCGAUUGAAUGGCUUAGUGAGGCUUCCGGAUUGAUUAACUGGAGAGGGCAACUUUUCUGGUUGAACGAGAAGCUAGUCAAACUUGGUCAUUUAGAGGAAGUAAAAGUCGUAACAAGGUUUCCAGUAGGUGACACCUGCGGAAGGAUCAUUA